rnacentral:rRNA from 1 species
ACAUGCUUAUAGCUUAGUGUUAAUGCACAAGAUUCUGUUAGAACUCUAUAGUUAAGCGUGCUUGAGCUAGAGUAAUACUAGGAUGGGUAACCACCCAAGAAGUCCUAUUGUUUUACAUGCC